CAGCAGUGUGUUCAACCCAGAGCGAACUAUUCUUUCGUCUGUAUUGAAGAAUACUGUGUGCGGGACAUAGAAACAGCUUGUUCAAAUUUUGGAACGCUCCUUCGUUGGAGCAC
rnacentral:snRNA from 1 species